rnacentral:rRNA from 1 species
AACCUAUGGACGGGAAUAACCUCGGGAAACUGAGUAUAAUUCCCGAUAGAACAUUAUGCCUGGAAUGGUUUAUGUUCCAAAUGAUUUAUCGCCGUAGGAUGGGACUGCGGCCUAUCAGUUUGUUGGUGAGGUAAUGGCCCACCAAGACUAUUACAGGUACGGGCUCUGAGAGGAGUAGCCCGGAGAUGGGUACUGAGACACGGACCCAGGCCCUAUGGGGCGCAGCAGGCGAGAAAACUUUGCAAUGUGCGAAAGCACGACAAGGUUAAUCCGAGUGGUUUCUGCUAAAGGAACCUUUUGUUAGUCCUAGAAACACUAACGAAUAAGGGGUGGGCAAGUUCUGGUGUCAGCCGCCGCGGUAAAACCAGCACCUCAAGUGGUCAGGAUGAUUAUUGGGCCUAAAGCAUCCGUAGCCGGCUCUGUAAGUUUUCGGUUAAAUCUGUACGCUCAACGUACAGGCUGCCGGGAAUACUGCAGAGCUAGGGAGUGGGAGAGGUAGACGGUACUCGGGAGGAAGGGGUAAAAUCCUUUGAUCUCUCGAUGACCACCUGUGGCGAAGGCGGUCUACCAGAACACGUCCGACGGUGAGGGAUGAAAGCUGGGGGAGCAAACCGGAUUAGAUACCCGGGUAGUCCCAGCUGUAAACUAUGCAAACUCAGUGAUGCAUUGACUUGUGGUCAAUGCAGUGCUGCAGGGAAGCCGUUAAGUUUGCCGCCUGGGAAGUACGUACGCAAGUAUGAAACUUAAAGGAAUUGGCGGGGGAGCACCACAAGGGGUGAAGCCUGCGGUUCAAUUGGAUUCAACGCCGGG